rnacentral:lncRNA from 1 species
CGUCAGGGUACUGCUUCUCGAACUCCUGUAGAUCGCAUGUUGUUGUUGUUGCAAAGUGUUCGGUGUUAUUUGAUCAUAAUCUGCCCAUCGAUCAGCAGCUACAAGCUAGCUAGCUAGCUAAUUAGUAUACCUGCCACACUCCGUAGUAACCUCUCCUGCUGCUGGCGUAGAGGAAGAACUCCCUUCCUUUCCCUUCAGGCCAGAACUUCCUGGGGAACUUGAGGAAGAUCUUGGUGUACACGGCCAUGUCGAAUUGGUAGAUCGCCCUAACCUUCCAUGUCUGGGGCAGACAAGAGGAAACGACCAUAUAUCAAAUUAAUAUACUAUAAUUAAUAUUGAGAAGAUAUAAUCGAUCAGCUGAUGAUAGAUCGAGGUGUAGGUAGGAACAACUAACUGACAGGUAGCUUGGGCUUGAACUGAAUGAGAUCGGAUUGCAGGACACCCAGGCUCGCAGAAACCAUGACGUAGUCUGCGCUGUACACCGAGUUGUCCUCUGUCUUGACGGUGACGCCACCCGGGGAAUACUUGAUCUCUCGCACCACCUGUAUGUACGUACGUUAAUGAUGUGUUCUAGCAAUCUAGCUAAGCUUAAUCAAUGCCCAUGCAUGCAUGCAUGCAUGUAGUAUAUAUAUACCUUGUUGAGCUGCAGGCGCGGGUCGACGAUCUUUCCAGACUUAUCGUCGGUCUUGAGGUACUGGCCGGCGAGGUAGUAGACGACGGCCUCGUAGCCCCGCUGG